rnacentral:rRNA from 1 species
GACGAACGCUGGCGGCGUGCCUAAUACAUGCAAGUAGAACGCUGAAGGAGGAGCUUGCUUCUCUGGAUGAGUUGCGAACGGGUGAGUAACGCGUAGGUAACCUGCCUGGUAUCGGGGGAUAACUAUUGGAAACGAUAGCUAAUACCGCAUAAGAGUAGAUGUUGCAUGACAUUUGCUUAAAAGUUGCAAUUGCAUCACUACCAGAUGGACCUGCGUUGUAUUAGCUAGUUGGGGGGGUAACGGCUCACCAAGGCGACGAUACAUAUCCGGCCUGAGAGGGUGGUCGGCCACACUGGGACUUGGACACGGCCCAGGCUCCUUAGGGAAGCAGCAGUAGGGAAUCUUCGGCAAUGGGCGGAAGGCUGACCCAACAACGCCGCGUGAGUGAAGAAGGUUUUCGGAUCGUAAAGCUCUGUUGUAAGGGAAGAACGAGUGUGAGAGUGGAAAGUUCACGCUGUGACGGUAUCUAACCAGAAAGCGACGGCUAACUACGUG